rnacentral:rRNA from 1 species
UACGUAGGGCGCAAGCGUUAUCCGGAAUUAUUGGGCGUAAAGAGCUCGUAGGCGGUUUGUUGCGUCGGCUGUGAAAUCCCGAGGCUCAACCUCGGGUCUGCAGUCGAUACGAGCAAACUAGAGUGUUGCAGGGGAGACUGGAAUUCCUGGUGUAGCGGUGAAAUGCGCAGAUAUCAGGAGGAACACCGGUGGCGAAGGCGGGUCUCUGGGCAACAACUGACGCUGAGGAGCGAAAGCGUGGGGAGCAAACAGG